UGGCCCAGAUCGUUUACCGUGAAAAAAUUAGAGUGUUCAAAGCAGGCAGACCAUUUCUUCUGCCACCGAAUACAUUAGCAUGGGAUAAUGGAAUAGGACCCUGUCCUCCUAUUUUGCGUGUUGGCGAGGACCGGGUAAUGAUUAAUAGGGAUAGUUGGGGGCAUUAAUAUUUAAUUGUCAGAGGUGAAAUUCUUGGAUUUAUGAAAGAUUGACUUCUGCGAAAGCAUCUGCCAAGGAUGUUUUCAUUAAUCAAGAACGAAAGUUAGGGGAUCGAAGACGAUCAGAUACCGUCGUAGUCUUAACCAUAAACGAUGCCGACCAGCGAUUAGGAGACGUUGAAUACAAAACACCACCGUCGGGUCGGCCGUCCUUGGCCGUCGUGCGCGGCGACGCGCGCGGCGGCGAGGGCGGUGUCUGCCCGACGGCCCGGUGAAUG
rnacentral:rRNA from 1 species